CUUGCGCUCCUCCCGCCGCCGCUCGAACUCCUCGAAGGAGAUCUUCCCCUCCAGGAAUAAUUUCUGGCAUAGCAGAGUCUAUAUAUGUAGCCACAGUUAUGUCACGAUCGUCUGCAUCUCGAUUACCAGUCUAUAAAAUGAGGAUUUCCCCGUUUUGGAAUAAUGCCUAUAGAAUCCCAAGUAUUACAAGUUGGAAGGAAAAGCACCAAACUGCUCCACAUCAGUACCUGAGCAAAGACUAAAGGCAAAUGUUCACCACAACACUCAUUAGCGUGUUUGUGCAACAAAAGUACAGGUAACAUUCACAACACUCUACAGAGUAUGAUUGUUAAGUGGCACUUUUUGUGAAUUACAACCGUUUAUACUAAUGCAACCAUGUUAGAACACCAUACAAAAAUAUACAGAAGUGUUUAUUUAACAGAACAUAUGCUAUACAGUGUACUUUAAGUCAUGUACACUUCAGUAAAAAAAAAAAAAAAGACAAAAAAGACAUGUUAAGUACACACUACAGACAGGGAAACCAUCAAACAAAACAUGAAAGUCCCAGCGUAGCUCCCAUUCAAGUUGCCUUCAACUUCAACAACAACAAAAAAGGAAUGGUUCAAAGCACAGUUUUGAACAACUGAGAUUUCAACUUUCAGCAAUUUAAACAUUAGCUGAAGAUACGUAUUCUCCAAGGUUUUCUCAGCAUCUCAAGACAAAUACUUCGCUGAAGCUUAUUACAUUGCGUGAGUUGUAGACAACCAAGAAUUCAGUUAUAACUGUUUUAAAAAGCACAAUAAUUUAUUAUAGCAUUAUUCAACCAUUUAUUGAUAAUAAUCUGCCAACAUCUCCAGAAACCUUUAACAGUUAGAGUUAGCUCCACCUAAAACACCAGGUUUACACUAGUUAUAUAAGAACUCUAAACAGAGGAAGAGUUAAAAGUGAGGUUGCUCGUUAACCAAUAGAUUUCUCCAAAAGUUAUGUAUGUGUCUUUCAGUGAUAUAAGCCCUCCUAGC